GACGAACGCUGGCGGCGUGCCUAAUACAUGCAAGUCGAGCGGACGGAAUGGGAGCUUGCUCUUGUUCGGUCAGCGGCGGACGGGUGAGUAACACGUGGGCAACCUGCCCGCAAGACCGGGAUAACUCCGGGAAACCGGAGCUAAUACCGGAUAACACCGAAAACCGCAUGGUCUUUGGUUGAAAGGCGGCGCAAGCUGCCACUUGCGGUUGGGCCCGCGGCGCAUUAGCUAGUUGGGGAGGUAACGGCUCCCCAAGGCAACGAUGGGUAGCCGGCCGGAGGGGGGGACCGGCCCACCUGGGAAUGGGACCCGGCCCAGAACCCUACGGGAGGGAGCAGUAGGGGAGCUUCCGGAAAGGGCGAAAGGCUGACGGAGGGAAGCCGGGGGGGGGAAGAAGGGCUUCGGGUCGGAAAGCUCUGUUGUGAGGGAAGAAGGAGCGGCGUAUGAAGAAGGCGGCGAGGUGACGGUACCUCACGAGGAAGCCCCGGCUAACUACGUG
rnacentral:rRNA from 1 species